UACGAAGGGGGCUAGCGUUGCUCGGAAUCACUGGGCGUAAAGGGUGCGUAGGCGGGUCCUUAAGUCAGGGGUGAAAUCCUGGAGCUCAACUCCAGAACUGCCUUUGAUACUGAGGAUCUUGAGUCCGGGAGAGGUGAGUGGAACUGCGAGUGUAGAGGUGAAAUUCGUAGAUAUUCGCAAGAACACCAGUGGCGAAGGCGGGUCUCUGGACAGUUCCUGACGCUGAGGCACGAAGGCCAGGGGAGCAAACGGG
rnacentral:rRNA from 1 species